CGGGGCGUAGCGCAGUCUGGCUAGCGCGCGUGCCUUGGGAGCACGAGGUCGCCGUUCGCCGUACGGCGAAUGAAGUUCGAAUCUUGCUCGCCGCAC
rnacentral:tRNA from 1 species